rnacentral:rRNA from 4 species
AAUCCAUAGGUUAAUGAGGCGAACCGGGGGAACUGAAACAUCUAAGUACCCCGAGGAAAAGAAAUCAACCGAGAUUCCCCCAGUAGCGGCGAGCGAACGGGGAGGAGCCCAGAGCCUGAAUCAGCAUGUGUGUUAGUGGAAGCGUCUGGAAAGGCGCGCGAUACAGGGUGACAGCCCCGUACACAAAAGCGCAUGUGCUGUGAGCUCGAUGAGUAGGGCGGGACACGUGGUAUCCUGUCUGAAUAUGGGGGGACCAUCCUCCAAGGCUAAAUACUCCUGACUGACCGAUAGUGAACCAGUACCGUGAGGGAAAGGCGAAAAGAACCCCGGCGAGGGGAGUGAAAAAGAACCUGAAACCGUGUACGUACAAGCAGUGGGAGCACCCUUUGGGUGUG